AGGGAUUUAGCUCAAUGGCACAGCACCUGCCUGGCAAGCAUGAGGUCCUGAGUUCGAUCCCCGGUAUCCCCC
rnacentral:tRNA from 1 species